rnacentral:tRNA from 1 species
GUUAACGUAGCUUAAAAAAAGCAUAACGCUGAAGAUGUUAAGAUGGGCCCUAGAAAGCCCCGUAGACA